UGAUAGGUUAAGAGCUAAUUAACUGGACGUUACCUACAGAAGAAGCACCGGCUAACUCCGUGCCAGCAGCCGCGGUAAUACGGAGGGUGCGAGCGUUAAUCGGAAUUACUGGGCGUAAAGGGUGCGUAGGUGGUUUGAUAAGUUAGUUGUGAAAUUCCUGGGCUCAACCUAGGCACUGCAACUAAUACUGUUGAACUCGAGUAUGGGAGAGGGCAGUGGAAUUUCCGGUGUAGCGGUGAAAUGCGUAGAGAUCGGAAGGAACACCAGUGGCGAAGGCGGCUGCCUGGCCUAAUACUGACACUGAGGCACGAAAGCGUGGGGAGCAAACAGGAUUAGAUACCCUGGUAGUCCACGCCGUAAACGAUGUCAACUAGCCGUUGGUUAUAUGAAUAUAAUUAGUGGCGCAGCAAACGCGAUAAGUUGACAUCGU
rnacentral:rRNA from 1 species